CGUAAUGAUAUGUUUAGUCCGCGGUAGAUCUCGAAAGAAAUCCAGUUUCAUUAGUGAAAUCGUUAAGGAGGUUGCAGGCAUGGCGCCUAAAAAAAUUACACGCCUCUUCAAAUGGCCCAGGUGGUAGAAGCAGUCAGAAAAGGUGAGAAAACUGCAACUGCUGCAAAGAAGUUUGGUGUACCCAGAAUUACAUUACAUGAUAAGAUUUCCGGUAAGACUCCAGUUGAAUGUUCCAUGGGCCCUAAAACAUAUUUGUCAACGGAAGAGGAGGUUAUUUUAGAAAAAUGGGUACUUGAAAUGGCUGAAAAACACAUUCCCGUUACUAGAGAUGAGCUCCUCGAUAGCGUACAACGUAUCAUAAUUUAUCAGGAUAAAACAACCCCAUUUACUGACAAUAGACCGGGCAAGAAAUGGUACAACCUUUUUCUAAACAGACAUCCUAUAUUGUCUGAGAGAACGGCACAAAAUUUAACGACAGCUCGAGAUGCUGUUACAGAAGAGCAUAUAAGGCGGUGUUUUGAAGAAGUUGAAUCUUAUCUACGCGAAAAUGAUCUCAAAGAUGUAUUAGAACAGCCGGCAAUAAUAUUCAACACAGACGAAAGUGCCUUUUUUUGUCGCCUAAGGCUGGUAAAGUUCUUGCAAAAAAAGGAGACAAACAUAUCUACCAAUCCUCCGGAAACGAAAAAGAUAAUUUGACAGUACUAAUUACUGGAAAUGCCUAGUGGACAAGAAUCAAAAGAAACAACAAAUAACACCUCAAUUAUUGAUAAGCCGAGUUGUUCUAACAUAACUGAUUCAGUUACAAUACCUUCGACAUCUUGCUCUUCAACUUCAGCUACGGCACUUCCAACCAAUUAGUAAAUCCACUUCAGACAGCUGCCAAUGCCUGCACUUCAACAUUUACCCUCAAUGAGAAUUCUGUAGUAGAAAUAAUAUCUUCAAAAGAGACGAUCACACUUGAAUCCAAAGAAAAGUCUAAUGAAGCUUUGAUAAUUAAUCAAUAAUUAAGUUCAUCGAAGCAAGCAAGAGGUUUACUUCAGAUAUCUUCAACUUCUUCAAUGUGUGUUCUUCAAAGUGCUGCAGAAAAAACACCUUUAAAAGAGAUGAUAAGCACUAAUACAUCAAAAACUGUUGCAAAUAAAGUGGGAAAUACACAUAUUCCAUCGCCAUUUAAACGAAAUUUAUUUUGGCCCGGAGAAGAUGAAGAUUAAGAGAAAAAAUUCCUUCUGCCAUCACAAGUAAAACAUGGAGGGAUUAUCACGAAGUGAAAGAGAACCAAAAAAGAGAAGCAGCAAAACUAAAAGAAAUUAAAGCCCAAGAAAGAGUAGUGAAAAGACAGUUAAAACAGAGAGAAAUGGAAAACAAAAAGCAAAAUAGAAUAAAAGAUAAAGAACAUAAGAAGAAAAAACGAAAUACAACACCAAAACCGAAACCAAAUGAUACAUCGCCGGACAAUACAGACACCGAGGUAAACUAUGCAGAAAGUGAAGAUAGCUACAACAUGGAAAUCGAACAAGAACUAACAGACGAAGAUAUACCAUUGAGCAAAUAUCCUAAGCUAGCAAAAACAUAUUCUAGUGGAGAUUAUGUUAUAAUCCAAUACGAAGGAGAAUUUUUCCCAGGCGAAAUUAAAAAUGUUGAUAAUAACAAAUUUGAAAUUAACCAUGACCUUUUCUGUGGGUAACACGUUCAAAUGGCCGGAAAAAGAAGAUAAAAUCUGGUACCAAAAGUCUGACAUAGUCAAAGCAAUUUCAAAACCAACGCUAUGCAAUAAAAGAGGUUUUUAUACGAUACCAGAAAUGAAAGAAUGUAAGGUAUUAAGUAUUUAAUUUAAUGUUCUUCAGAAAACAUUUAACUUUCUUUGUUUUAUAGAUUUUUAAGCCAAACAACUAUUAAUUAAGUGGUAGACUAAAACGAGUCUGUGAUCAAAACUUGCCAUAAAUUUAUUAUUAAAUAAUAAAUAGGUACCUACUUAAUAAUAUUGUAAUUCCAAGUGGAAAUAUCAUAAGAAGUAUGUUAAUUUUAUAUGCCACUGAGAAGAUCUCAUUAAGUUUUGUUGAUUAGUAUUAAGCAAGUAGAUGAAACUUAGUAUUAGUAACCUACUUAAGUAACAAAAAUGUGAUUAAAAGUUGACAUAAUAAAUAAGAAAAAACUAUUUUAUAAUAUAGAGGAUUAAAAAAAUUAAAACAUUAACACCAUAGCGUUAAAAUUAUUAGUUACUUAAGUACUACAAUUACCAAAGCAUUACAUGCCAACAUGUCCUUGUUUUUAUUUAGCGAAUUAAAAUGAUUAAAAGACUGA